rnacentral:tRNA from 1 species
GGGCAGGUACCCAAGUGGUCAAAGGGGACAGACUGUAAAUCUGUUGCGCAUAGCUUCGCAGGUUCAAAUCCUGCCCUGCCCACCA